CAGAUUAGCUAGUUGGUGGGGUAAUGGCCUACCAAGGCUCCGAUCUGUAGCUGGUCUUAGAGGACGAUCAGCCACACUGGAACUGAGACACGGUCCAGACUCCUACGGGAGGCAGCAGUGGGGAAUAUUGGACAAUGGGGGAAACCCUGAUCCAGCCAUGCCGCGUGAGUGAUGAAGGCCUUCGGGUUGUAAAGCUCUUUUGUCAGGGACGAUGAUGACGGUACCUGAAGAAUAAGCCCCGGCUAACUUCGUGCCAGCAGCCGCGGUAAUACGAAGGGGGCUAGCGUUGUUCGGAAUUACUGGGCGUAAAGGGCGCGUAGGCGGAUUAGUAAGUCAGGAGUGAAAUCCCUGGGCUCAACCCGGGAAUUGCUUUUGAAACUACUAGUCUUGAGUGUAGGAGAGGUAAGUGGAAUUCUCAGUGUA
rnacentral:rRNA from 1 species